rnacentral:rRNA from 1 species
CGCAUCUGUGCAUGCAGCAUAUCAAUAAGCGGAGGAAAAGAAACUAACAAGGAUUCCCUUAGUAACGGCGAGUGAAGCGGGAAGAGCUCAAAUUUGAAAUCUUCAAGGUUUUACCUUGACGAAUUGUAGUUUAAAGAAGUAGUUUUCUGCUGAAGUUUUGGUAAAAGUUCUUUGGAAUAGGACAUCAUAGAGGGUGAGAAUCCCGUAUUUGACCAUUAUUUUCAGCUUUGUGAUACACUUUCAAAGAGUCGGAUUGUUUGGGAAUGCAGUCCAAAAUGGGUGGUAAAUUUCAUCUAAAGCUAAAUAUUGGCGAGAGACCGAUAGCGAACAAGUACCGUGAGGGAAAGAUGAAAAGAACUUUGAAAAGAGAGUUAAACAGUACGUGAAAUUGUCAAAAGGGAAGCGUUUGACACCAGUGUUGUUUUCUGAAAAUCAAUUAAAGAACUGUUUAUGCUAAGCUGUUUAGACUUUAUCAGCUAAUCUGUUUAGUUUUGAGCUUUUCUUUAAUGCACUUUUCAGUUAACAAGUCAACAUCAAUUUCUUUUGCUGUAAAAAAGCUUGAGGAAGGUGGCUUGAGAUUCGUCUUAAGUGUUUAUAGCCUCUUGCCUAUGCAGUCGGAGAGAUUGAGGUCUGCAGCGUAGAUCCUUCGGGGCUAAAUGCAUUUGUGCUAAGUUAUAGCAUUUUAUAGACAACUUGUUGACUAUGAUUUGUCUUGUAGCUUACUCGCUUAUGUUAUUUUACCUACGCUUAGGAUGUUGAUAGUCACAGCGUGUAC